CCUACGGAGGGCUGCAGUGGGGAAUAUUGGACAAUGGGCGAAAGCCUGAUCCAGCCAUGCCGCGUGUGUGAAGAAGGCCUUCGGGUUGUAAAGCACUUUCAGUGGGGAAGAAAGCCUUGGGGCUAAUACCCUCGAGGAAGGACAUCACCCACAGAAGAAGCACCGGCUAACUCCGUGCCAGCAGCCGCGGUAAUACGGAGGGUGCGAGCGUUAAUCGGAAUUACUGGGCGUAAAGCGCGCGUAGGCGGUCUGAUAAGCCGGUUGUGAAAGCCCCGGGCUCAACCUGGGAACGGCAUCCGGAACUGUCAGGCUAGAGUGCAGGAGAGGAAGGUAGAAUUCCCGGUGUAGCGGUGAAAUGCGUAGAGAUCGGGAGGAAUACCAGUGGCGAAGGCGGCCUUCUGGACUGACACUGACGCUGAGGUGCGAAAGCGUGGGUAGCAAACAGGAUUAGAUACCCUGGUAGUC
rnacentral:rRNA from 1 species